UUCUUAUCCAGAGAGACGGAGGGAUUGGCCCUAAGAUGUCUCAGCAACCAGCCUAACGAUUAGGCACGGUGCUAAUUCCAAUAGACGCAUAAUAAGGUGUCUAGAAGAUAAGAA
rnacentral:ncRNA from 2 species